GUUAUUGUAGCUUACACUAAAGCAUGGCACUGAAGUUGCCAAGAUGGGUAAUCAAAAUACCCCAAAAACA
rnacentral:tRNA from 1 species